CAGUAGCCGCGGGAAUACGUAGGUGGCAAGCGUUGUCCGGAAUUAUUGGGCGUAAAGGGCUCGCAGGCGGUUUCUUAAGUCUGAUGUGAAAGCCCCCGGCUCAACCGGGGAGGGUCAUUGGAAACUGGGAAACUUGAGUGCAGAAGAGGAGAGUGGAAUUCCACGUGUAGCGGUGAAAUGCGUAGAGAUGUGGAGGAACACCAGUGGCGAGGGCGACUCUCUGGUCUGUAACUGACGCUGAGGAGCGAAAGCGUGGGGAGCGAACAGGAUUAGAUACCCCAGUAGUCCCUGUCUCUUAUAC
rnacentral:rRNA from 1 species